rnacentral:rRNA from 1 species
AUUGAACGCUGGCGGCAGGCCUAACACAUGCAAGUCGAGCGGAUGAAGGGAGCUUGCUCCUGGAUUCAGCGGCGGACGGGUGAGUAAUGCCUAGGAAUCUGCCUGGUAGUGGGGGAUAACGUCCGGAAACGGGCGCUAAUACCGCAUACGUCCUGAGGGAGAAAGUGGGGGAUCUUCGGACCUCACGCUAUCAGAUGAGCCUAGGUCGGAUUAGCUAGUUGGUGGGGUAAAGGCCUACCAAGGCGACGAUCCGUAACUGGUCUGAGAGGAUGAUCAGUCACACUGGAACUGAGACACGGUCCAGACUCCUACGGGAGGCAGCAGUGGGGAAUAUUGGACAAUGGGCGAAAGCCUGAUCCAGCCAUGCCGCGUGUGUGAAGAAGGUCUUCGGAUUGUAAAGCACUUUAAGUUGGGAGGAAGGGCAGUAAGUUAAUACCUUGCUGUUUUGACGUUACCGACAGAAUAAGCACCGGCUAACUUCGU